UGGCGGCGUGGAUUAGGCAUGCAAGUCGAGCGAGAAGCUUCCCUUCGGGGAAGUGGACAGCGGCAAACGGGGUAGUAAUACAUCGAUUACGUCCCCCCAGGUCUAGGAUAGCCGGGGGAAACCGCGGGUAAUACUGGAUAAUCUCUACGGAGCAAAAGUCCGCUGCCUGGGGACCGGUCGAUGCGAUACUAGGUUGUUGGUGAGGUAAUGGCUCACCAAGCCUGCGAUGUCU
rnacentral:rRNA from 1 species